GGCAUGAACUGCCAGUCUAAUAGCAUCUUCCAACCUGGAUAAGAAAUAAAGGCUAUUGGACUGUUAUUCAGGGGACUCAUUGAGCAGCAGUGAAUAGUUAAACUAAUUAGCUUGCUUUCUUAUUGGUGGAAAGGUGUCAAGAAGGGCAAGGCUAUUAACCUGGCACUGCAGGCAUCUGAGCAGUAUCCUUGUGCUUUUUACUGUCAUUGGGCCCAGCUGGACACCCAGAAAAAAAAACAGCUGGCAUAUAAAAGCCUAAGCUGACAGUUCCACUAUCUUUAGUGAGAGUGGUAAUGGCUAGUUUGUAAGGGUGUAGCCUGCCAGGAGAGGAUAGACACUCAAGAAAGGCUCUGCCUUUAUCAGUAUCAGUAGAUUUCAGUAUUCUCAAUGGGCUUAUGAGGAAGCUGGCUCUUUAUUAAGCCACAGAGAAAACAGAACAUAAAAGCAAGUCCUCCCCAGGAGCACAAUCUGAUCCCUUUAAAGGCUUACUAUAAGCUUCCCUUCUGAAGGAUUUCAUGGGAAGCCACCUGAGAGGAGAGUGUACCUCUGAUGUGCAGGGAGCUUUCUCUGGAGGAGUGCUGGUCACAGUGUGGUGCUGGGGAGUCUGCUGUCUCUCUUGCUGCUUCAGUCAGGAACCACAUGGAAGUACGAGGCCUGGCUUCCUGAUGCUAAUGGAAAGGUUACAGCUGUUGAGUCUUCUUGCUGCAAGGCCUGUAAGAUUGACUGCUUCCAACCUUUCUGGACAUGGAGGGGGAGGAAGAGAACUCAGCUUCCUCUUUCUUCUGUUUCUUAUCAAAAGACAGAAGACUUGGGGGGUGGUUAAAGAAAUGUCUGGUUUGCACUUUGUUGUCAUGACAAGCUAAAUGACUAAAUAAUCAAGACAUUGCAUUUGCUGGUGAAAUUCCUGAGAAUUUGAGAUCAAUAUCUGUUUAGUAAAAUAUAUAAAUAAAACCACAUACAUACUAUUUUUCUAUUUUUUUCCCAAAGGCAAAUGAGUGUAUGAUCAGUUGUCCUGGGUGGAGGUGCUGUCUGAAUUAAGAAACUUAGAAGGGUCUCAUGUGAGGGGAAAAAAGAUUGUUUUAGAUUUUCAAAGCUGCAAUAAAUAUCAUUAAAUACAGAUAGGCCUUAGCCAUCUACUUUUGUUUUGCAUGCCAGCUUCUUUUGAGCCACUGUCUGGGUUACAGUCACUAAACUUGAAGGGUUUUUUCACCCCUGGUUUUCAAUGUGUGCAGGUGCUGAGGGUGUUUGUAUAGCAGGUUUGGAUCUCAGUCUUUCUUCUUUUUGGAAACUGCUAUUUAGAAAAAUCGGAAAAGAAGGCCUUUUCUGUGAUCCAAUUAACACUUAGACUCAGAAAUCUUUUCAAAGUUAGGAAAAGACUGCCUAUAAUUUAGAAGUGUAUCAUUCACUUUGUCUCUAAACAUCAGUUUUCUUAAAUUUAAAUUAGGCAGUUGUCUAAUGUCAUUUUGCACACCAGCCAUAGCAAUUUGUUGAUUUUUCUUGUGAAAUCAGCUGACUGGUAUAUCUUAAUUAUUGUUAACAUUGCUCUUAUAGUAAAGCAAAAAAAGUAAACCUGAACUGAGCAGACUUGUCAGUGCUGCCAGUGUACUUCUGUGUGUAUGCUAUGUGAAAAAAGACAAGGAAAUUCUGAGAAUGAAGAAGUCUGACUAGGUCCAGGAAACCUCACUAUUCUUCCUCUUUUUCUUUCUAUUUGCUUGGUUUCCCUUGUUUCAGUGCAAAUAAUAAAAUGAGCAAAUGUAUCAAGUUGAGUGAAGGAAUGACUAUUUAUAGUCACACCCCUAUUUUUUUCCACUCCCCAUUACAGAGUAAAGCAGUUAACAGAACUGAAGUCUUAAAACAAUUAGCAGCAUUUGGCAUCAAUUUGGCAUUACAAUCACUAUAGAUGAAAUACAGUAGUUUUAUGAUAGAUGCUGAAAUGGGACAGGCUAAAUUUUCAUUUUGAAGAAGAUG